GAUUUCCUACGGGGGGCAGCAGUGAGGAAUAUUGGUCAAUGGCCGAGAGGCUGAACCAGCCAAGUCGCGUGAGGGAUGACGGCCCUACGGGUUGUAAACCUCUUUUGUCGGGGAGCAAAGAGAGUCAUGUGUGGCUCAUUGAGAGUACCCGAAGAAAAAGCAUCGGCUAACUCCGUGCCAGCAGCCGCGGUAAUACGGAGGAUGCGAGCGUUAUCCGGAUUUAUUGGGUUUAAAGGGUGCGCAGGCGGAGGUGCAAGUCAGUGGUCAAAUUGCGGGGCUCAACCCCGUACUGCCGUUG
rnacentral:rRNA from 1 species